UUCUGCAGGACCUCGUCUUCCUGGGAGGGCUCUUCUCAUCCUGCACCUGCUCCCGUGUGACGUCCACCAGCAGCGCUCUCCCUCACCCUCUGCCCACCGCCCGGUCUCCCUUCUGAGCUCUAGGUGCAAACAGCCAGCUGCCCCCAGGGCAUCUCCGCGGGGGGCUCCACGGCACCCUGCAUGCCCACCCCCCAAAUAACUUUUCACCUCCCUCUGCCUGCUAACCUGCAGCUUGCUCCCCUCCCCGAGUAUAUUCCAGGAGGGCUGGGACCAUCAACCGCCCUCCCCUGAGCCCAGUAGCGCCCCCUGCUCUGUGAAAUGAGCCCCCCCCCCCACCAUGACCCCAAGCAUCCCCACCAGGCUGAGCCAGGGGUCGGAGCUGCCGGUGAGGAGGGAGCAAGCAGUCAGUACCUGAGCAAUGGCUCGCUCGGGAGAAACCCUUAACACUCAGCCAACAGAGCACGCUCUUUCUUAACACAGUGGAGAGAAAACAGAAGGAAGGAUGUGGUGGGGAGUCGCGCAGCUCCACGGGGGAAGCUGAGUCAGGGUCAUGGAUGACGCUGGCCCUGACGGUGCUAAUUAAACCGUAAGUGUUUCAUGGGCUCCAGGAUGCCGUGGGAAAAGGAGGAUAUGAAACAGGGAGUCCAAGCCGAGGAUUGUUGGGAAAUAGGUGGGCUGGCGAGUUCCUCCUGAGUUUAGAGGAAGGGGGCCCCGUGCAGGCAGGGGGAGCCCGGGAAGGCCCCUCUUGAGCCUGGAGCUCCGGUGGGUUCUGCCCAGCUCAUGGGGUGAGUGGGGCCCCAGGGCGAGAGCGCCCCUCAUCCGGGAAGGGCCCGCAGCCUUACGUGGCCUCACGCCGGGCUCACGCUCUGCUGCGCUCACCUGGGUGGUCACGAACACAUCCAGGUUCUGCGUUCCAGGCGGGAACCCGACCGAAGUCAAGUGCCCUGUUUUCUCAGCCCGUCGCAUCAGCAGGUGCCUGAAGUCAGCGCAUCCCGAUUCCGUCCCGUGGCCUAGUUCAGGCGGGCAGGCCAGGCUUCCCCGCCCUGACGUUGGUCUUCCUCCCCUGGUAACCCAGGAGCGCUGGCUCUUGGGGUGAAGCUCGCGGCCAGCGUGAACGUGCUAAGUCUGUCGAACCGUCACCUGCACGUUCUGGCGUCCGCCGAUGAUGAUCCGAAUCCAUCGUUACUCUGAUCGUUGCCGGAAGUCGACGUUCUGGGUAAUUCAUUCCUUCGGUCCAAAGGGAGAGACGUUUUCCAAAGUAACCGGCUUGUAUUCCUUAAAAAUAUUGAUCUCAGGACAACCUGCGGGGCUGUUCCGGAUUAAAGGGGCCCGAAGAGAACCAGCAACUGGAUGCAGUGUGUGAUCCUGGACCAGGAUUCCUUUGUCCUUUCCUCUAAAGGACAUUGCUGGGACAACUGGUGACAUUUGAAGAAGGCCUGGAUAUUCUGUGAAAUUAGUACGUCCGUGUCAAGUUUCUGGUUUUGUCAUUGCGUGUGUGUGUACUUGUGUAAAAGAAUGCCUCCAGGCAGGACACACGGGAACAUUUCAGAAUAGAGGGGACGGUAGCUACAACUCCGUCUCAAGUGGCCCAGGAGAAAUGCUCUGCGUCUACAGCACAUAGUAUGGCAGGAAGCCUUCUGAAUCAGUGCUCUAUUUUGAGCACAAAGUCAAGAUUUUUGUGGCCGCAGCCAAAGAUGUUCACGUGGAGAGCUGCUGAGCUGGCUUGUUGAUUCAGGCCCCGACGGUUCCUCAGGUCUUUCUGGAAAUAACAGGGUCAUUGACAUGUAACGCGGUUAUAAAACCUGUGACGAGGCGCCCAUCUAGUGACAGCAGGGCCGAGCCAGCCGAUACCUCCGCGACCGAGUCCCCGUAACGUGAGUGCCUCGCGCCAUCCCGUGUAACCCCCAGGACAAAUCUGCAAGAUAAGCUGUGUCAUCCUGAGUUUUCACAUGAGAAAAUAGAAGCUCAGAGACGAUGAAUAUCCUUUGCCCAAAGAUCCAUGGUCGUAUGUUCCAUUAAGUCAUCUGGAUGAUUUCUGGGGAGGCACGGGACUCCAAUGUCAUGCACCCCACUUCUGCUGGCCGACACUUGGGGACUGUUGGGUCCUGACCUCAGCACACUGGAUGGUGGAGUGGGUGACUGUGUGCGUCCGUUUCCUCCAGCGAACACGGCAUCCGGGAGCGAGAGCGUUCACUUUGUCAAAGGUUCAGAAAUAACAGAAGUAAAACCAGUGAAUCACCGUGGUAGCAAUUAGUAAAAGUUUAUCAUGCACACACCAAAAAGGAAGUUUGCAAACCGGGAGCACUCAAACCGGAAGGCAGAUAAUCAGAGCCACAGAAAGAAGCUCGGUGGCAGAGGGCAUAAGGCUACUGAUGACCUAAGACAGAGGCAACACCGAAGAGGAAGAGGAGGAGGAGGAAGAAGAUUGUAGGGCUUGUGAGUCAUGCCAACUGAACACAAGUUGUAUCCAAAGGUGGACACGUUUGUGGUAUUACGCGUUUGCAGAAGGACAAAAGCAUAUCCAUAUAAUAUCUCUGUGUAAGCCACGUCCUCCACGGUCAUCACCUUGACCGCAUUCCCCCCAGACUGCCAUAUCCUGAAACCACGAUGCGGGGGGUCACCUCCCUGCCUGCCCUGUCACGCUGCCUAGCUUGAGCACGAUGCUGUCCAUGGAACAUCCUGCAAUGACAAGGGCGUCCUAGCCACACACAUCCAGUACCUGCGGCCGCGAAUGAGUGGGCAAAGUACGCUCCCGGUGAAGAAACAAGAAUGGCUCCUGGAACGCUCUGGGGCUGAGUGCUUCGCAGGAGGUGACUCAUGGAAGCGUGCUUACUGGGCCCAUUUUCAGUCGACAAAACCGAGGCCCAGAGCAUCACGGUUGUGGCUGAACUCGAACUCAGUGGUGCGGUCUCGUUCCAGAGGGUGUGACCUGCCUUUAGAAGGAGAGUCCCGCUUGUCACUCAUUCAGCCUGGGGUCCAUCCUUGCGAGCCCUUCAUGGAGCGUGAUGGAGGUGGCUGGUCAGGGGGACCGCUGUCCGCAACCCCACAGCUCCAGGAAAAGUGGCUGAUGAGCCACACGGCUGACACACAGAGAAGGAGACAUUUUUAUUUGAAGAUACUUUCAGGGUCUUUCAAAGGCCUCUCACUGUUUGCUUCCAGGCUGGAGACUCUGAAGGGUGAGUCAUUCUAGCUGUUCUGGGUUUUCACUUCAAGGUCAGAGGCUGCAGGAGUCUCUCGUUUAGAUAUGCAUCAUGAGUUUUAAGAGUCCAGGCUGGGGAAUUAAUUUCGGUCACCAAUGUCACCCCAGAAUAUUGUGCCUCCAGUGACUGCCACCCAGGCGUCCCUCCUGCACUCAGCGGAGCCAUGCGGGCGGCCGGGCUCCACCUGCCAAGGGGGAAUGAGAAAGAGAGCAAGAAGCUGACUCCUUACAAAUGAGCGAAGCAGGUGGGGGGCAGGGGGCAGAAAGAAGAGAGGAACGAACCAAGAAGCAGACUCUUCACUGUAGAGAAAAAACUGAGGUGGGGGGGUGGGAGGGGGAAAUGCAUGAUGGGGAUUAAAGAGAGCACGUGAGAAGAGCACAGGGCCACAUAUGAAAGUGUUCCAUCAGGGGCGCCUGGUGGCUCGGUCCGUUGGGUGUCUGACCUCGGCUCAGCUCAUGAUCUCGAGGUCCGUGAGUUCGAGCCCCACAUGGAGCUCUGUGCCGACAGCUCAGAGCCCGGAGCCCGCUUCCGAUUCUGUGUCUUGCUCUCUCUCCGCCCCUCCCCUGUUGACGCUCUGUCUCUUAAUAACAAAUAAAUGUUAAAAAAAAAAAAAAAAAGAAAGAAAGUGUUCCAUCACUGUCAGUACACCGGAAACUAAUAUUACAGUGAAGGUUACCUGUACUGGCGUUGCAAUGAGAUAAAAAUACAUAAAACGUAAAUAAAAACGCAAAAAUAAUAAACAGACAAAAAAGAAGCAAACUCCUCCUGUCUUCACUGAAACAACUGUGUUCACCGUGCCCCGUCCCUGCUGCUUCCUGCACCUGCCGUGUCCGCCCGUGAUGGAAGAACGUGGGCCCUCCCCCCCCAGCUUCCAGGCUUUCAGAUUUUGAGUAGGGUGAGGACUUUGGUGCCCAGGUUCUGUCCUCAUCCUGUCGGGGCUGGGCCCAGCCCUGGAUACGACAGCAGAUCCCGGUAGAGCGGUCACGAGCGGGUCGGGGAAACAGGACAGGGGGUGAUGAGGAGAGACGCGGAGGCAUCAGCUCCCUACCUGGUGUGCCUGCAGCCCCUGGAGGGAGGGUCCCCUGGAGCCUCUCGUGGCCUUUGCAGAGCCUUAAACCCUGGAAAGGAACCAGCAGGGACGACUCCCAGGGGACUCUGGGAGAAGAGGGACAGGAACAGGGACCUGGAUGUAGGACAACAGGUCUUCUAGCCAGGGAGGCGGUGCCAGCCCACACCCCACGGCCCUUCUGCAAACAGGCAGUCAGUGGUCUCCCUGCACAUCUGUCCACAUGUGCCCCUUUGGGGGUGACCAUGAAGCCUCCGGGCCCUGUAACCUGCACACCGUUCACAUCCACACUAAUCAGCUCCUUAGAAGAAUUCAAUCACAAAGUGAUCUUUGUGCACAAUAAAAUCGUCAUAAUCAGCGUCAUCGAGGCUUGGGUUCUUCGAGUUAAGCUCCCACCCCGCCCAGGCCAACAGCCACACUUUUCACCAUGUUCUUACAUAUUCGAGGUGAUGUUUUACAAAACCGUUGUAUGCUUUACAAAACUGGACUCGUACUGAAUACAUUUGUCUGCAAAUUGCCUUUUAUCCUACUUCUUUGUUGGCAAAAAGUGUGGCCAGAGACACCCUCCUUUUAUAGUAUGGUUUCCAGGAAGGGAGACUGCUCAGUCAAAGGGUAGGUGUAUUUUAAUACUUUCAUGGAUACUGAUAUUAAAAUGGGUAUCGAUACCGUAGAGUUUCAGUAGGUCCUGCCAGAUGGCCUCCCGAAAUGGUUGUAGUCAUUCCUGUUCCCA